rnacentral:rRNA from 1 species
UACGAAGGGGGCUAGCGUUGCUCGGAAUCACUGGGCGUAAAGCGCACGUAGGCGGAUUGUUAAGUCAGGGGUGAAAUCCUGGAGCUCAACUCCAGAACUGCCUUUGAUACUGGCGAUCUCGAGUCCGGGAGAGGUGAGUGGAACUGCGAGUGUAGAGGUGAAAUUCGUAGAUAUUCGCAAGAACACCAGUGGCGAAGGCGGCUGCCUGGGCCUGGCCUGACGCUGAGGCGCGAAAGCGUGGGGAGCAAUCCGG